rnacentral:rRNA from 1 species
CCUANGGGAGGCAGCAGUGGGGAAUAUUGCACAAUGGGCGAAAGCCUGAUGCAGCAACGCCGCGUGAGUGAUGAAGGCCUUCGGGUUGUAAAGCUCUGUCUUUGGGGACGAUAAUGACGGUACCCAAGGAGGAAGCCACGGCUAACUACGUGCCAGCAGCCGCGGUAAUACGUAGGUGGCAAGCGUUGUCCGGAUUUACUGGGCGUAAAGGAUGCGUAGGUGGAUAUGCAAGUCAGAUGUGAAAUACCCGGGCUCAACUCGGGUGCUGCAUUUGAAACUAUAUAUCUAGAGUGCAGGAGAGGUAAGUGGAAUUCCUAGUGUAGCGGUGAAAUGCGUAGAGAUUAGGAAGAACACCAGUGGCGAAGGCGACUUACUGGACCGUAACUGACACUGAGGCAUGAAAGCGUGGGGAGCAAACAGGAUUAGAUACCCUGNUANUC